rnacentral:rRNA from 1 species
AACAAGCGCUGGCGACGUGCCUAAUACAUGCAAGUCGAACGGGGAAAGCUUUCGGGUGAGUACUAGUGGCGCACGGGUGAGUAACGCGUGGAUAAUCUGCCUUAGAGUGGGGGACAACUAGUCGAAAGAUUAGCUAAUACCGCAUAAGACCACAGGAACCGAGGUUCUAGAGGUCAAAGGUUUUUCGCUCUAAGAUGAGUCCGCGUAAGAUUAGCUAGUUGGUGAGGUAACGGCUCACCAAGGCAACGAUCUUUAACUGGUCUGAGAGGAUGAUCAGUAACACUGGAACUGAGACACGGUCCAGACUCCUACGGGAGGCAGCAGUAGGGAAUAUUGCACAAUGGAGGAAACUCUGAUGCAGCGACGCCGCGUGAGUGAUGAAGGCCUUCGGGUCGUAAAGCUCUGUCGCAGGGGAAUAACACAAUGAAUGUACCCUGUAAGAAAGGAUCGGCUAACUUCGUGCCAGCAGCCGCCGUAACAC